rnacentral:rRNA from 1 species
AGAGUUUGAUCUUGGCUCAGAUUGAACGCGGGCGGCAGGCCUAACACAUGCAAGUCGAACGGUAACAGGAAGAAGCUUGCUUCUUUGCUGACGAGUGGCGGACGGGUGAGUAAUGUCUGGGAAACUGCCUGAUGGAGGGGGAUAACUACUGGAAACGGUAGCUAAUACCGCAUAACGUCGCAAGACCAAAGAGGGGGACCUUCGGGCCUCUUGCCAUCGGAUGUGCCCAGAUGGGAUUAGCUAGUAGGUGGGGUAACGGCUCACCUAGGCGACGAUCCCUAGCUGGUCUGAGAGGAUGACCAGCCACACUGGAACUGAGACACGGUCCAGACUCCUACGGGAGGCAGCAGUGGGGAAUAUUGCACAAUGGGCGCAAGCCUGAUGCAGCCAUGCCGCGUGUAUGAAGAAGGCCUUCGGGUUGUAAAGUACUUUCAGCGGGGAGGAAGGGAGUAAAGUUAAUACCUUUGCUCAUUGACGUUACCCGCAGAAGAAGCACCGGCUAACUCCGUGCCAGCAGCCGCGGUAAUACGGAGGGUGCAAGCGUUAAUCGGAAUUACUGGGCGUAAAGCGCACGCAGGCGGUUUGUUAAGUCAGAUGUGAAAUCCCCGGGCUCAACCUGGGAACUGCAUCUGAUACUGGCAAGCUUGAGUCUCGUAGAGGGGGGUAGAAUUCCAGGUGUAGCGGUGAAAUGCGUAGAGAUCUGGAGGAAUACCGGUGGCGAAGGCGGCCCCCUGGACGAAGACUGACGCUCAGGUGCGAAAGCGUGGGGAGCAAACAGGGAUUAGAUACCCUGGUAGUCCACGCCGUAAACGAUGUCGACUUGGAGGUUGUGCCCUUGAGGCGUGGCUUCCGGAGCUAACGCGUUAAGUCGACCGCCUGGGGAGUACGGCCGCAAGGUUAAAACUCAAAUGAAUUGACGGGGGCCCGCACAAGCGGUGGAGCAUGUGGUUUAAUUCGAUGCAACGCGAAGAACCUUACCUGGUCUUGACAUCUACGGAAGUUUUCAGAGAUAAGAAUGUGCCUUCGGGAACCGUGAGACAGGUGCUGCAUGGCUGUCGUCAGCUCGUGUUGUGAAAUGUUGGGUUAAGUCCCGCAACGAGCGCAACCCUUAUCCUUUGUUGCCAGCGGUCCGGCCGGGAACUCAAAGGAGACUGCCAGUGAUAAACUGGAGGAAGGUGGGGAUGACGUUAAGUCAUCAUGGCCCUUACGACCAGGGCUACACACGUGCUACAAUGGCGCAUACAAAGAGAAGCGACCUCGCGAGAGCAAGCGGACCUCAUAAAGUGCGUCGUAGUCCGGAUUGGAGUCUGCAACUCGACUCCAUGAAGUCGGAAUCGCUAGUAAUCGUGGAUCAGAAUGCCACGGUGAAUACGUUCCCGGGCCUUGUACACACCGCCCGUCACACCAUGGGAGUGGGUUGCAAAAGAAGUAGGUAGCUUAACCUUCGGGAGGGGGCUUACCACUUUGUGAUUCAUGACUGGGGUGAAGU